rnacentral:rRNA from 1 species
GAACGCUGGCGGCGUGCCUAAUACAUGCAAGUCGAACGCACAGCGAAAGGUGCUUGCACCUUUCAAGUGAGUGGCGAACGGGUGAGUAACACGUGGACAACCUGCCUCAAGGCUGGGGAUAACAUUUGGAAACAGAUGCUAAUACCGAAUGAAACUUAGUGUCGCAUGAUACGAAGUUAAAAGGCGCUUUGGCGUCACCUAGAGAUGGAUCCGCGGUGCAUUAGUUAGUUGGUGGGGUAAAGGCCUACCAAGACAAUGAUGCAUAGCCGAGUUGAGAGACUGAUCGGCCACAUUGGGACUGAGACACGGCCCAAACUCCUACGGGAGGCUGCAGUAGGGAAUCUUCCACAAUGGGCGAAAGCCUGAUGGAGCAACGCCGCGUGUGUGAUGAAGGCUUUCGGGUCGUAAAGCACUGUUGUAUGGGAAGAACAGCUAGAAUAGGGAAUGAUUUUAGUUUGACGGUACCAUACCAGAAAGGGACGGCUAAAUACGUGCCAGCAGCCGCGGUAAUACGUAUGUCCCGAGCGUUAUCCGGAUUUAUUGGGCGUAAAGCGAGCGCAGACGGUUGAUUAAGUCUGAUGUGAAAGCCCGGAGCUCAACUCCGGAAUGGCAUUGGAAACUGGUUAACUUGAGUGCAGUAGAGGUAAGUGGAACUCCAUGUGUAGCGGUGGAAUGCGUAGAUAUAUGGAAGAACACCAGUGGCGAAGGCGGCUUACUGGACUGUAACUGACGUUGAGGCUCGAAAGUGUGGGUAGCAAACAGGAUUAGAUACCCUGGUAGUCCACACCGUAAACGAUGAACACUAGGUGUUAGGAGGUUUCCGCCUCUUAGUGCCGAAGCUAACGCAUUAAGUGUUCCGCCUGGGGAGUACGACCGCAAGGUUGAAACUCAAAGGAAUUGACGGGGACCCGCACAAGCGGUGGAGCAUGUGGUUUAAUUCGAAGCAACGCGAAGAACCUUACCAGGUCUUGACAUCCUUUGAAGCUUUUAGAGAUAGAAGUGUUCUCUUCGGAGACAAAGUGACAGGUGGUGCAUGGUCGUCGUCAGCUCGUGUCGUGAGAUGUUGGGUUAAGUCCCGCAACGAGCGCAACCCUUAUUGUUAGUUGCCAGCAUUCAGAUGGGCACUCUAGCGAGACUGCCGGUGACAAACCGGAGGAAGGCGGGGACGACGUCAGAUCAUCAUGCCCCUUAUGACCUGGGCUACACACGUGCUACAAUGGCGUAUACAACGAGUUGCCAACCCGCGAGGGUGAGCUAAUCUCUUAAAGUACGUCUCAGUUCGGAUUGUAGUCUGCAACUCGACUACAUGAAGUCGGAAUCGCUAGUAAUCGCGGAUCAGCACGCCGCGGUGAAUACGUUCCCGGGUCUUGUACACACCGCCCGUCACACCAUGGGAGUUUGUAAUGCCCAAAGCCGGUGGCCUAACCUUUUAGGAAGGAGCCGUCUAAGGCAGGACAGAUGACUG